ACUGGGGUCCAGGAGGCAUAUGGGGGCCAGCAGCAGGUGAGACACAGGCCUGCAGAGGGCGCUCUGGGCUGGAAAAGAGCUAAUUCCCUGGACAACCAGCAGGAGGCGCCACGCCAGUGAGUCAUCGCCCUGCCACACCAGGGAAGGAUUAAAGGCUUCAGCAGUGUUUAGCUCAGAAGACUCACCAAGAUUAUACACAACAAUGAAAGUUAUUUCAGAAGCAGAGCAGCCACCGGACUUCAGCGUGAUCCCACUGAAAUCAAAUGCACUGUACCGAUUAACAUUGACGGGAGCAGGGUCUCAGCCUCAGCUUUUUUACUGCUCAUUUGAUCUUGCCCCAGCAACUGCAGAUACAGUCCAUAGUAUAUUUUUAUUGCUGGAUUGGAAAUGUGGAAGAUCUCCAGCGGAUAGUAUAAUUCCUCUGUUACUGGAAGGCUCUAUAACGUAGUGGGAAAAGAUUCUGUUUUACACGCCAAAGAUUACACGCCAAAACGUCUUACAUUUGUGCUUUUAGCUUUCUUUCCAUCUGUGAGAUUACACAAGUCGAUUCACUUAUUCCAUUUUGCAGGUAACAACCAAACUAGAUCCAAACUAUUUUACAUUUUAAAAUAAUAAUUUAAAAAUUUUAGUAAAAAUGAACAGUUCCGCUGUACAUUUAAUCAUUUCAUCAAUUUUUUGAGUUCCUAUCACCUUGGCAGCUAGCACAAGAAUUCAGAAAACGUGAAGAGCACAUAUAUUUUUCAAUAUAUCUUUAUCUGCCAUGAUAUUAAAAUGUUGUU